CCUUACCUGGUCUUGACAUCCAGAGAAUCCUGCAGAGAUGCGGGAGUGCCUUCGGGAACUCUGAGACAGGUGCUGCAUGGCUGUCGUCAGCUCGUGUUGUGAAAUGUUGGGUUAAGUCCCGCAACGAGCGCAACCCUUAUCCUUUGUUGCCAGCGCGUCAUGGCGGGAACUCAAAGGAGACUGCCGGUGAUAAACCGGAGGAAGGUGGGGAUGACGUCAAGUCAUCAUGGCCCUUACGACCAGGGCUACACACGUGCUACAAUGGCAUAUACAAAGAGAAGCGACCUCGCGAGAGCAAGCGGACCUCAUAAAGUAUGUCGUAGUCCGGAUUGGAGUCUGCAACUCGACUCCAUGAAGUCGGAAUCGCUAGUAAUC
rnacentral:rRNA from 1 species